rnacentral:snRNA from 22 species
AUACUUACCUUGUUUCGGGGAUCGCGAUCACAAAGGCGACGCUCCACAGAAGAGACCCUGCAUUGCACGUCGCGGUGGACUCGUCUUGUUCAAUGGCCUUCGGGUCAUUGAGAGGCACAUUCUUUGGCUCUUUCAUUCGAUAUGAUA